AAUUAAUGAUACGAUAAAGCUUAAAAAUCGGAAACAAGAAGGCUUGUAUAUGUGUAUAUGCAAAUAAAUUUACCAAAAACAAAAAUAAAAUAAAAUAAGAAACAAAAUAAGAAACAAAAUAAGAAACAAAAUAAGAAACAAAAUAAGAAACAAAAUAAGAAAUAAAAUAAAAAAUGCAAAACUGUAGUUAUGUAGUAAUAAUUUUAUGAAAAAAAGGCUUAUUCACUCACAUCGUUGCUAAUCUUGUUCCAUACCCUUUACAAUUUUUAACCAUAUAUAUUUUUUUUUUUUUUUUUUUUUUUUUUUUUUUUUUUUUGCUCAUACCACUUAAUACAAAGAUGCAUCCACCAAACGACGAAAAUUUAGACACAUUAAACAAUAAUGAUAUUAUUCGGAAAAUAAUAGACAUUCAAAAUAUAUUAAUUAUGAUGUCUGAUAGUAUGGUUGUUUUAAAAAACAAAAAUAAAAUACUAGACGAAGAAAAUGAAAAAUUACAAAUGCAUAUCAAUAGUAUUGUUAAUGAAAUUAAAAAAGAGGCUGUUCAUAAUUUUGAUGAUUCUAUUGAAACAUUUUCGAAUAAUAUAACAUUAAAAAAGGAAAAUGGUGUGGGCGAGGAACAAAGUGGAAAAGGAAGCAACGGAAAAGAGUAUAAAAAAAAAGAAAUAACUAAUGAAAAAACAAAUAAUUAUAGUAAUGAUGACACAUGUAGCAGCCCAAAAAAUAGUGCACACAGAAACACACAAAAACGUACGGAGAAAGUACAAACAAAUAGCCACAGUAAAAAUAUAACUGACAAAAAAAACUCUGCAGACAAUGUUCUCACAAUACAGCAGGAACUACAUAUAAACGAUAGAAGAGGAUUUAACACUAUCCAUAAUAAUAAAGUAAAUAAUAAUAAUAAUAAUAAUAAUACAUACACUAAUGAUGUUCAAAAUGUAAGUGAAGAUAAAUAUAUAAAUGAUAACAAUAGUAGUAGUAAUAAUACUGGCAUUAAUAAAAACUCCAAUGUUAUUAAAUCAGUACCAAUAGAAAAAAAUAUGUUAUAUUCUUUCAUCAAUGAAACAGAUAAACUGAAUUCAAUUUUUAACGUCGCAUCUAGUGUUAUUAGUGCAUCCUUUUUUAAUGUACCGUUAGAGCGUAACAACAAUAGUACUACCAGUAGUAGUACUAAUAGCAACAGCAACAAUAAAAAUAACAGCAACGAUGAAAAUAAUAGCAACAAUAGCAAUGGUAGUGGUGAGAAUGAGAAUACUCAGAACGACUGUCACAAUACAGAAAAAUACACAGGUAUCCAUCAAACGGAUAGUAAUAAAAUUAAUAAUGAAGUACUUAAAAAACCUGAGUCUACAAGCAAUAAUAUACAAGAAGAUUUGUUUAAAAUAAAUAACGAAACUAACUCAGAUCAGAAAACUGAAAAGCUUAAUAAUUAAUUGCACAGGAUAUAUCAAAUGGAAAAAUACAACACGGGAAAAAUAUAAUAGAAACAGUAAAACCGACAGAUGCGGAUAAUGUGCAUAUAAAACAAGAUUUACUUGAAGACUCAAAAGUUGAAAAACAAAAACAACUGUU
ensembl:lncRNA